AUAUCUUUCUUGGCCUUUUGACAAAGAUCAAAUAUAGUAUCUGCUUUUAUUAAUUUAAUAUCUGAUAUGUAGAUUAUGUGCUCAUAAUAACAUUAAAAAAAUUAUGGAGAAGAGCCCAUCAGAGUGGCUUUGCCACUGAAGCGAUCACAUGUCCCCUAAACGUUACAUUGCUCCCUGGCCUGGUGCAGGCAUU
rfam:Hordeum vulgare subsp. vulgare, WGS project CAJW01000000 data, contig: morex_contig_420343